rnacentral:lncRNA from 1 species
GGCAACAAUUAUAUACACAGAUAUGCACAUGGAUGACAAGAAAGUCAAAACGAAGUCCCUUUCUCUUGGAUUAUGCAAUAAUAUAAUAAGAUGAAUAUGGGUGCACAAGCAAUACAUGACAUUCAACAACUAGGUCAAGUAUAGGAACAUGAUACACAACAUCAAUAUGGCAUGACCAAACAAGGAGCAACAUCAAGGCAUAUGACAUGACUCAAGCACAAACAAGAUCAAUCCUGAACCAUCAAGCACCAACAUGGUACAUGUUAU